rnacentral:rRNA from 1 species
GACGAACGCUGGCGGCGUGCUUAACACAUGCAAGUCGUACGGUAAGGCCCUUUCGGUGGUACACGAAUGGCGGACGGGGGAGUAACACGUGAGUAACCUGCCCACAACUUUGGGAUAACGCUAGGAAAGUGGUGCUAGUACUGGAUAUGUGCUCUUUCUGCAUGGGGGGGGUUGGAUAGCUCCGGCGGUUGUGGAUGUACUCUCGGCCUAUCAGCUUGCUGGUGUGGUAGUGGCGUACCAAGGCGGCGUCGGGUAGCCGGCCUUCGAGGGUGACCGGCCACAUUGGGCCUGCGAUACGGCCCAGACUCCUACGGGAGGCAGCAGUGGGGAAUAUUGCACAAUGGGCGCAAGCCUGAUGCAGCAACGCCGCGUGCGGGAUGACGGCCUUCGGGUUGUAAACCGCUUUCAACAGGGACGAAGCUUUUGUGACGGUACCUGCAGAAGAAGCAACGGCUAACUACGUG